UCUGUUCUCUGGGAGGCAGUUUAAAUACCCUGUUAGAGUGAUAAUGAGCAUUUCUGGGGGAGGGGUCAUCAUUUGUCAGGCUUUCUGAGAUGCAGGAGGAUUUGGGGGCAGAUGUGGGAGGGGGCUUGGGUGGAACCUCCACCAUAACAUCCCAGACUUUUUGGGUAUAUGGAUGCCAGGGGCUGGGGCAGAUCUUUCACCAUAACAGCUUUGUUUUGUUUGUUUUUAAACAUCUACUUAUUUACUUGAGAGCACGUUUGGAGCAGAGGAGAGAUUACUUGUAAAUUCUUGGCUGAAGUCAGUUCCUUCUCUAUUAGUGAAAGGCAGUUCUCUUCCACGAGUCCAGCCUGGCAAUCAAUGAGGUGACAUGUCACAGCCAGAUCGCCCUCAAACCUAUCUCAACUCUGCAACCUGGGCUCCUCCCUGUCUUACAGCAGAUAGAGAGGACCCUAUCAAACCAAAGAUCUGAGCCUGUUGGGCUUGAAGUCAGACUCUGAAGUGCCUGUCCUGUGCCUACCCCCCUGCAUUUGGGCCAUGAGCAGCAAAGCAUACAAGACCCCUGGGUCUUGGUCACAGUUCGAAUUUUCAUUCUUAGCACUGCUACAGUAAGGACAUUCAGACACUUCUGAAAUGAUGGCUCAUUUGAAAUUAACCUUUUCCAGAACUGAAAGAUUUACAAAAACUAUACAAACACAGGAACAAGGUGGACAACAAGCCCAAUCUAAAAGCCAGGAAAAAGAAAGAAAGAAAAAGAAAGAAAGAAAGAAAGAAAGAAAGAAGAGAAAGAAAGAGAGGAAACUGCACCAUUUGUCAGAUUCAACCAUUGAGGGACAUCACAUUGUGGCCCAUUACGAUGCUAUGUACUUGAAGGCCAAUUAGAAGUCAUUAGAGUUAUGAGAAGGUGCUAAUAAAAUAGGCUUGUGCAAAAUAAUGCAUUACUUACUGAGGCCUGAGUUAAACUCAUGGAUGUCUUGUGGAAAUUGAAAAUCAUACUUGAUUGCUUCUACAAAUAUUUUAUUACAUUUUGUUACAUCUUUUGUGAUGAGUGUGUGUACCAUAGCACUAAUGUGGAAGUCAAAGGACAGAUUGUGGGAAUUGGUUCUCUACUUCUGCCAUGUGGGUUGAUAGGAUGGAAUUUACAUCAUCAGGCUAGAAGAUGGCAGGAGCCUUCAUCUGCUGAGCCAACUCAGCAGCUCCAUACGCAAUGCAAAAUUCACAUGAAGUAAUGUUCCUGUGAAUUUCAGACAAAUGAUCUUCCAGAUGUUUCUCUGUGUAGCUCUGGUUGUCCUGGAACUAGCUCUGUAGACCAUGCUGGCUUUGAACUCCGAGACCUACUUGUCUCUGCCUCUUGAGUACUGGGAUUAAGGGCCUGUGCUACCACCUGAAAUAUUUAAACUCAUAACCCAUUAUCUGCUAGGCAAGUGCUGUACCAGAGCUAUAGUCUCAACCUUUUUUAUUCAUUUACUUUUGUUUAGAUUUUAGUUUUUAUUUUCUAUGUGAGAAGCUUAAGGUUUAUAAAUUUUAUCCUGCUCUAAUUUUUGUUUAGAUUUUAGUUUUUACUGUUUUAAAUUAUGUAUGUGUGGGCUGAAGAGAUGGCUCAGAAGUUAAAAAGCACUGACUGCUCUUCCAGAGAACCCAGGUUCAAUUCCCAGCACCCACAUGGCAGCUCAUGUGUGUAACUCCAAGAGCUGACACCCUCACAUAGACAUACAUGCAGGCAAAACACCAAUGCAUAUAGAAUAAAAAUAAAUUAAAAAAAAUUUUGUGUGUAGACACCUGGAGCGGCCAGAGACAUCAGAUCUCUUGUAUCUGGAGUUACCAGUUGUAAGCCACAUGUCAUGAGUGUUAGGAACUGAAAUUGGGGGUGGUGGUAGUGCAUGCCUUUAAUCCCAGGCCAGCAUGGUCUACAAAGUGAGUUCCAGGACAGCCUGGUCUACACAGAGAAACCAUGUCUUGAAAAACAAAAACAAAAAGCAAAACAAGCAAACAAAAAACUUUGGGGGCUGGAGAGAUGGCUUAGAGGUUAAGAGUACUAGCUGCUAUUCUAGAGGACCCAGGUUGAAUUCCCAGCACCCACAUGGUAGCUCAGAAUUGUCUUUAACUGCAGUUGAUCCCACACUGUCACACAGACAUAUAUGCUGGCAAAACACCAAUGCACAUGUAAUUAAAAAUAAAUAUUAAAAAACAAGAAAGAGUUGGGCGUUGGUGGCACACACCUUUAAUCCCAACACUUGGGAGGCAGAAGCAGGUGGAUCUCUGUGAGUUCAAGGCCAGCCUGGUCUACAAGCGCUAGUUACAGGACAGCCUCCAAAGCCACAGAGAAAACCUGUAUCGAAAAAAAAAAAAAAAGAAAGAAAUUGAAAUUGAGUCAUUUGUAGUGUGUGUUCUUAUUAAUCCCUGGAGGCAUCUCUCUAAUCCCUUGUUUGUUUCUUUUGAGACAGGGUUUCUCUAUGUAUUCCACAAUCCCCUGGAAUGCACUAUGUAGCUAAUAAUGCUCUUAAGUUCACGUCCUCCUACUUUAGUUUCUUCGUUUCCUUUUUUAAUUUUUUUUUUUUUGAGACAGGUUUUCUCUUUGUAGCCCUGCUGUCCUGGAACUUGCUCUGUACACCAAGCUGGCCUUAAACUCAUAUAUCCACUUGCCUCUGCCUCACAAAUUCUGGGAUUAAGGCAGGUAGCACCACCACUUGGCUUGUUUCCUUAUUUUUAAUGUGCUUACCAAUUUUCCCAAAGCUGCCUUGCUUCUGUCCAAUCCAUAGCUGUUUCCAUAUUUCAAUAUUAUAUAGUUUUUAUGUUCUAUGUGAGAAGCUUAAGGUUUAUAAAUUUUAUCCUGCUCAAGAAACCUUUAUAGUCAUUCAUUGUAAAAAUCUUAAUCUAGGACUCUGGAGGCAGCUCAAUUGGUAGAGCACUUGCCUGGCAUGUGCGAGAGCCUGGGUUCCACCCCCAGAAACCAAGGGUGAUAGAGCAUUAUCUGUAAUCCCAGCUUGCCAGUGGUAAAAGUGGGAGGUUCAGAAGUUCAAACUUAUCGUUGGCCAUACCGUAAGUUCAAGAUGAGCCCAGGACACACCAGACCCUGUCUCAAAAGAAAAAAAGAAAAGAAAAGAAAAGAAAAAAGAAGAAAAAGAAAGAAAGGAAGGAAAGAAAGAAAGAAAAAAAGUUGUAUCUGUGUAAUUACAACUUGACUUGUAAAAAUUUAAGCUAUUCCUGAACUCGAAGCAAUUUCGUCAACACACACUGGGCGAUAAGGUAAUUUCCUGAAAUGCAGUGUUUUGCUGUUCUAUGCACAGGUACAAGAUCACCAUCCACAAUCUUCCCUUGCUCCUUUCCCGAAAGCUCCUGCCAACCACUGUUCAGCGUUUUUGACUCUGAAUGUGGGAAUGCCCUACCAGUGUAGCCACACAGUUUACAUCUGUUUCUGGCUCAUUUCAUCUGGAGGAAGAUUCUCAAAGCCCCUCAUAUCUCCUUCUCUUAGAGGCUGAGUAGCUUUCCAGCGUCUGCCCACACACAAUAUGCUUAUCUGCCAUCAAGAGACAUUUGCUUCCACGUUCUCGCUACGGCAAUCCUAAUGGACACGAGGUGGUGGCAUCUCAAUGUGACUUGGGCUAUAGUCCUUUAAAGAGGCUGGAAGAGGGCACCAGAUCACCUGGAGCUGGAAUUACAGACAGUUGUGAACUGCCAUGUGGGUGCUGGUAAUUGAACCCUGGUGCUCUGGAAGAGUAGCCAUUGCUCUUAACUGCUGAGCCAUCAUCUCGCCAGCCCUGCAGGUGUAAUUUUUAAGAAGAGAAAAAACCAGGAAGUCUGUGUUAGAAAUCUGUGCUGUGGUGUGUUUUGAUUGGGCUUUUGAUGGCUGGACUUUAAUACUUUGAUAGAUGGACCUUGGUAGUCAGUCUGAGGAGAAGAAGUGGCAGCUAGCUUUGGGAAUGUAAUCUAACAGUUUUUUUUUUUUUUUCUUUUGCAAGGCAGAGGGAAUAGGAGAGAAAAGCAGGACUUGCCAGAAUCAUGCUUGCUCUGCUAGAGCUGGCCAGAAUCCCUUCAACAAACAAACAAACAAACAAACAAAAAACAAAUAAACAAAAAAAAUGUGAGAAAACAGUCACAAAUCCCCAAAGGAAUAUUUUAUAGAAUACAGAACACUUUAAAUCAGUAAUAAAUAUAGGGGAGGGGGGAAGAGAGUUGAAUGGGCAUUUCUCCCAAGCCAAAAAAAAAAAAAAAAAAAGCUCAUUAUUAAACAUUAGAAGGCAAAUUUAAACCAAAUUGAAAAACUGCUACAAGCCUAUUGUAAUGGAUCAAAUGUAAAAGGAAGUAAUAAUGAUGUUAUUGAGUGCAAGUAAAAAUGUAGGACUUGGGUCAGCAAGAUGGCUUAAAAGGUGCUUGCCGAGCAACCUGAGUUUGAUCUCGGGAACCCAUGGUGGCGAGAACCUACCCUAAAAGUUGUUCUCUGACCUCUACAAGCCUGUAUGUGUGCACCCAAGCACACACACACACACACACACACACACACACACACACUUAAUAGUAAUAAUAAAAUUAAAGUUAACAAAAAAGAUGCAGAGUUUAGCUGGGUAUACCAGCAUAUACCUAUAAUUACAGCUCUUGGGAGACAGAGACAGGAAGACCGAGAGUUCAGUACCAGUUUGGGCUAUGUGAAACUUGUCAUAAAACAAACAGACAGACAUACAAACAUAUAGCAAUAAAUACAAAGAGCCUUAGCUUUCCUGGAAUUUCAGUGCUGAUAGAAUGCAAAAUGGUACAGCCACUUUGUAAUAUAUAUAAAAGGAACAUCCAGACUGAUUUCUGUUUUAUUAUUAUUAAAUUUAUAAUUAAAUAACUUAUUAAAAUAUUAAAUAAAAUUAUAGAGUGUGUGUGUGUGUGUGUGUGUUAUUUUAACAGGGUCUCUAUUCUGUAGCUCUGGCUUUCCUGGAACUCAAUAUUUAGAACAGGCCAGCCUUGAACUCACAGAGAUCCACCUGCAUCUGCCUCCUGUGUGUUGGAAUGAAAGUCUUGCACUACCACACUGGCAUUUUUAUUACUAUUGUGCAUGGCGGGGUGAGGAGAUCACCAGCCCCUAACAAUGGCUCCGGACAGUUUCUUACAGUGUUAUACACUUACUUAUGAGGCCCAGUGUUUCCACUUACUCCUUGUAAACCUUGGAGAAUGGAGACAUUCAAUAUUUACGGGUGGAAAUCACACACACAUAUAUGAGUGAAUUCUUUUUUUUUUUUAAUUUAUUUAUUAUGUUUGCAGUAUUCUGCCUGCAUGUACACUUGCAGGCCAGAAGAGGGCUCCAGAUCUCAUUACAGAUGGUUGUGAGCAACCGUAUGGUUGCUGGGAAUUGAACUCAAGACCUUUGGAAAAGCAGGUAGAGCUCUUAACCGCUGAACCAUCUCUCCAGCAACCCCCUCCCCCAAUAUAUGAAUAAAUGUGGAUUAGCCAUGUCAUGGUCACCCCUCAUCAAAAACAAUGAAUUAAAAUAUGAACAUCAUGCCUGUGGCAGACUGAGUGCAAUGAGUCUUUGCUUUCUGGGGCGUUCACAAGGGAUGUUGCUCUAGACAGUCACUCAUACCCUCAG
rnacentral:lncRNA from 1 species